UUCAAUUUUUGAAGUUUCUCUAGCUUUUUUGUUGGGUGAAAUCAGUAUAAGAAGCUCUUUCUUCUUUAAAAAUUAGUAGGAACUAAAAAACUUUGAUUUAAAACCAGGAUUAGAUACCCUGUUAUUCUCAGUUAUUCUUAAACAGGGUAGUAAAAGUUGUUCUUCAAACCCAAAGAUUUUGGCGGCACUUUAUCCAAAUAGAGGAGCUUGUCCCUUAAUCGAUAGUCCUCGUUUUAUCUUUCCUUCAUUUGUAAAGCUUGUAUACCGCCGUUGUCAGAUUACUUUUAGAGAAUGUUUUCAAGUUAAAAGACUUUAUAACUUCAGGUCAAGGUGCAGUUAAUAUGGGGGUGGAGGUGAGCUACAGUUUUCUUUAGAAAAUAUGGAUUCUAAGCUUUGAAGCUAGCUGAAGGUGGAUUUACUAGUAAAGUAAUUUAAGUAAA
rnacentral:rRNA from 1 species